AGUUUGAUCCUGGCUCAGGAUGAACGCUGGCGGCGUGCCUAAUACAUGCAAGUCGAGCGAACAGACGAGG
rnacentral:rRNA from 1 species